rnacentral:rRNA from 1 species
GCUAAUACCGGAUAAGCCUUUACAGGGAAAGUUUUAAUGCCAAAAGAUGAGCCCGCACUUGAUUAGUUAGUUGGUAGGGUAAUGGCCUACCAAGACAAUGAUCAAUAGCUGAUUUGAGAGGAUGAUCAGCCACAUUGGGACUGAGACACGGCCCAAACUCCUACGGGAGGCAGCAGUAGGGAAUCUUGCACAAUGGGGGAAACCCUGAUGCAGCGAUGCCGCGUGAGUGAAGAAGGCCUUUGGGUUGUAAAGCUCUUUCGUCGGGGAAGAAAAUGACUGUACCCGAAUAAGAAGGUCCGGCUAACUUCGUGCCAGCAGCCGCGGUAAUACGAAGGGACCUAGCGUAGUUCGGAAUUACUGGGCUUAAAGAGUUCGUAGGUGGUUAAAAAAGUUGGUGGUGAAAUCCCAGAGCUUAACUCUGGAACUGCCAUCAAAACUUUUUAGCUAGAGUGUGAUAGAGGAAAGCAGAAUUUCUAGUGUAGAGGUGAAAUUCGUAGAUAUUAGAAAGAAUACCAAUUGCGAAGGCAGCUUUCUGGAUCAUUACUGACGCUGAGGAACGAAAGCAUGGGUAGCGAAGAGGAUUAGAUACCCUCGUAGUCCAUGCCGUAAACGAUGUGUGUUAGACGUUGGAAAUUUAUUUUCAGUGUCGCAGCGAAAGCAUUAAACACACCGCCUGGGGAGUACGACCGCAAGGUUAAAACUCAAAUGAAUUGACGGGGACCCGCACAAGUAGUGGAGCAUGUGGUUUAAUUCGAAGAUACGCGCAGAACCUUACCAACACUUGACAUGUUCGUCGCGACUUUAAGAGAUUAGAGUUUUCGGUUCGGCCGGACGAAACACAGGUGCUGCAUGGCUGUCGUCAGCUCGUGUCGUGAGAUGUUGGGUUAAGUCCCGCAACGAGCGCAACCCUCACUUUUAGUUGCCAUCAUUUAGUUGGGCACUCUGAAAGAACUGCCAGUGAUAAGCUGGAGGAAGGUGGGGAUGACGUCAAGUCCUCAUGGCCCUUACGUGUUGGGCUACACACGUGCUACAAUGGCAUUUACAAUAGGAAGCAAGAUGGCGACAUCAAGCAAAUCCUAAAAAGAUGCCUCAGUUCGGAUUGUACUCUGCAACUCGAGUACAUGAAGCUGGAAUUACUAGUAAUCGCGGAUCAGCGCGCCGCGGUGAA